rnacentral:lncRNA from 1 species
UGUGGAUGUAGCUUAGUGUUAGAGUGUCCCUAUACUCGUGAAUACAUAUAGGCCCCACCCAAAUGAACCAGGAUAAUGUUUCUAUCUCAAGUUUCUUAAUUUAAUCACAUCUGAAAAGCCCCUUUAUUAUUUAAGGUAGCAUUCAGAUUCAAUGGAUCAGGACAUGGAUCUCUGGGAGCCAUUAUGCAGCCCACCAUUUAUAGGAUUUGCAGGAGAAUCUGUGGACAGCUGAUGAGAUGUUGUGAUUAUAAAAGGAAAGCAUAUCCAAAGACAAAGGCAUGUACAUUCUGGAAAUUUCUCACAAUUUUGCUAGGAGAGUAAAGAGCACUUAUUAGAGAGUAGUAAGAAAUAAGGCCGAGCCUUAUGAAUGAGACAGGCAGCGCCUCUGUUGUAAUGAUUAUGGAUUUUAUUCCCAGCAAGCCCCUGUGUGGUGUGUGGCCUGUGGUUGGUAUUCAAUAUACUUUGGAUGACUUGAGUAGGACAAAUGACUAACGAAGAAUAUUCAUAGAACGCCUACCAUAUAGUUGUCAGAGACUAAAGAGAAUUUUCCAUUUGGAGGUUCAAACCAAGAGGUGAGGUUUUCAGGCCUGGGAUUGGGUGUCAGGUGGCUUCCAGAUGCUACUAUCAAAACCCAAGCCAAUCCAUCCUGCCACUCUGCCAUUUGCCAUGUGAAGCCAGUGUCUUUCCUCAUAGUCUCAAGGUGGCAGUUCCAGGCGUCACAAACAAAUGCAACCAGCGAAGAGGCUCGGCACUGUUUGAUUAGCGAGGAAAGCAUU